rnacentral:rRNA from 1 species
AUUGAACGCUGGCGGCAGGCCUAACACAUGCAAGUCGAACGAGUGGCGGACGGGUGAGUAAUGUAUGGGAAAAUGCCUGAUGGAGGGGGAUAACUACUGGAACCGGUAGCUAAUACCGCAUAACAUCAGAUGUGCCGAGAUGGGCUUAGCUAGUUGGUGGGGUAACGGCUCACCAAGGCUACGAUCCCUAGCUGGUCUGAGAGGAUGACCAGCCAUACUGGAACUGAGAAACGGUCCAGACUCCUACGGGAGGCAGCAGUGGGUAAUUGUGAACAAUGGGCGCAAGCCUGAUGCAGCCAUUCCGCGUGUAUGAAGAAGGCCUUCGGGUUGUAAAGUACUUUCAGCAGGGAGGCGUUACCCGCAGAAGAAGCACCGGCUAACUCCGUGCCAGCAGCCGCGGUAAUAC